AUGAUUGCAAAGACUGGAAACACAUCUGUAGCCACAUAUAUGCACAGCUACAUGCAGCCCUAAUAGGGUGACUAUAAAUCCUUCAAACAUUUGCCUUUUGCGGGGCUGAAAUGAAGAUCUAUUGUGCUGAAUGCCUGGAGCUGGAAGUGUGUUUUUGUGCUGCAUAUUAAUCACCAGGGAGGUGUAAAGACCUGAAUGCCAAUAGGCACAUGUGUUGUUUGGUGUACACUUGAUGUACUGGGAAUACGGAUCAUUCCGCGUUCGUAUCUGGGUAUUUCUGUGCCUUCAGCUGAUCGAAUAAACAAGAGCCUGUGGUACAAUUCAGAGAAGAGGAAUAUUCCCUCUCUCAAUCCAGAUUGGCAGUGCUAAGAAAACGCUGGAGAAUGCAGAGCCCACAGCUCGCCCGUAUUUACAGCUGAUGAGAGCAGAUAUCACUAAGAUGACAUCCCUGUCACAAACAAUUCCUCUGGUCCUGCAUAAAUCAUUGGUCAGAGGAGGGACUUUGACUAAUUACUCUCAGGGUGCUGGCAUGCUUUCAGCUCAGCCAGAUACAUGAGCCAAGCAGGAUUUAUCAGGCGUUCUGUAGGUACAGGCAGUUCAAUCACAGGAGUUCAGUUGCGAGACAAGGACAUGCAAUAAAAAGAAAAUAAACAAACAGUGGUGUAUGAGUGGAGCUGAAGAAAGAAUAGACAUGAACUCAACCCCAUUAUUUGCUUUCCUUUGUGCUUUUUCCAUCUGGAUACAGAGGAAUAUGUGCCAACAAAGCUGAUGGGAAAGCAGACAAGGGGGUUUUCUAUGAGCCAGUUUUCCAGUACUCCUCAGAAAGUUUCAGGUUUGUGGUGGAGACACAUUGGUGCUUUUGGAGGUAGCUGAGCCAAGGAAAGAGCAUUUGGUUGGGUGCUGAGGAUGCUGAUGUGUGGGAAGCUACAGCCAGAACACAAGUAUCCAGAAAGACAUUGGUUUCCACAUAGACUUGAAUGUCUUUUAGCAGAAGGUGUUGUGCAGCUGCACUGGUUAAUCCAUGUUAAUUAAACUGUUAUCACCUUACUCACAUUUCCUUUUGGAAAGGUUUGGGUUUGGAUCUUUACAUUUUGGUUUUGUUUUUUAAUAGUAAAAUGCAGCUUCUGCAGACAUACCCAUGUGAAAAUGUUGACCUUUUUUGUAAUAGGGGAAGGGGAACUGCAACAGUUUGAUUUGCUGUUUUGAAACCAGCGUAUUUCAUUUGGCUCAAACUGACUAAUGUUUCUUUAAUCUUCUAUCUAUUACACUUCUGGAUCUGGUUCAACGUUAAGCUGUAUAUUUCCUCUGAAGGUGUCCCAUGGAAUUGUGGCUGAGACAUCUCUACCCCACAGCACUGACCUUGCUGGCUAAAGCAGCUUCCCAAUGCAGGGUGGUCUCUCCUUGGAGGAAGGUGGGUGAUGCACAUUCCUGGUGCCUCAUGCCUGCAGGUGUAUCCUAUGCUCUUUGCAGCUUGCCAAAGCGUUGCCCCAUC